UACGAAGGGGGCUAGCGUUGCUCGGAAUUACUGGGCGUAAAGCGCACGUAGGCGGCUUUCUAAGUCGGGGGUGGAAUCCUGGAGCUCAACUCCAGAACUGCCUUCGAUACUGGAAAGCUCGAGUCCGGGAGAGGUGAGUGGAACUGCGAGUGUAGAGGUGAAAUUCGUAGAUAUUCGCAAGAACACCAGUGGCGAAGGCGGCUCACUGGCCCGGUACUGCCGCUGAGGUGCGAAAGCGUGGGGAGCAAACAGG
rnacentral:rRNA from 1 species